CCUACGGGGGGCAGCAGUGGGGAAUAUUGCACAAUGGGCGCAAGCCUGAUGCAGCCAUGCCGCGUGUGUGAAGAAGGCCUUCGGGUUGUAAAGCACUUUCAGCGGGGAGGAAGGCGGUGAGGUUAAUAACCUCAUCGAUUGACGUUACCCGCAGAAGAAGCAACGGCUAACUCCGUGCCAGCAGCCGCGGUAAUACGGAGGGUGCAAGCGUUAAUCGGAAUUACUGGGCGUAAAGCGCACGCAGGCGGUCUGUCGAGUCGGAUGUGAAAUCCCCGGGCUCAACCUGGGAACUGCAUUCGAAACUGGCAGGCUAGAGUCUUGUAGAGGGGGGUAGAAUUCCAGGUGUAGCGGUGAAAUGCGUAGAGAUCUGGAGGAAUACCGGUGGCGAAGGCGGCCCCCUGGACAAAGACUGACGCUCAGGUGCGAAAGCGUGGGGAGCAAACAGGAUUAGAUACCCCUGUAGUC
rnacentral:rRNA from 1 species